CCUACGGGAGGCAGCAGUGGGGAAUAUUGAGCAAUGGGCGCAAGCCUGACCCAGCAACGCCGCGUGAAGGAAGAAGGCUUUCGGGUUGUAAACUUCUUUUCUCAGGGACGAAGCAAGUGACGGUACCUGAGGAAUAAGCCUCGGCUAACUACGUGCCUGCAGCCGCGGUAAUACGUAGGUGGCAAGCGUUAUCCGGAUUUACUGGGUGUAAAGGGGGUGUAGGCGGGGACGCAAGUCAGAUGUGAAAACCACGGGCUCAACCUGUGGCCUGCAUUUGAAACUGUGUGUCUUGAGUACUGGAGAGGCAGACGGAAUUCGUGGUGUAGCGGUGAAAUGCGUAGAUAUUAGGAGGAACACCAGUGGCGAAGGCGGUCUGCUGGACAGCAACUGACGCUGAGGCGCGAGAGCGUGGGGAGCAAACAGGAUUAGAUACCCGGGUAGUC
rnacentral:rRNA from 1 species